UACAGAGGGGGCAAGCGUUGUUCGGAAUUACUGGGCGUAAAGGGCGCGUAGGCGGCCUUCUAAGUCGAACGUGAAAUCCCCGGGCUCAACCCGGGAACUGCGUCCGAUACUGGAAGGCUUGAAUCCGGGAGAGGGAUGCGGAAUUCCAGGUGUAGCGGUGAAAUGCGUAGAUAUCUGGAGGAAUACCGGUGGCGAAGGCGGCAUCCUGGACCGAGAUUGACACUGAUGAGCGAAAGCCAGGGGAGCAAACGGG
rnacentral:rRNA from 1 species